UACGGAGGGUGCAAGCGUUGUCCGGAUUUAUUGGGUUUAAAGGGUGCGUAGGCGGCUUUUUAAGUCAGCGGUGAAAGACAACAGCUCAACUGUUGCAGUGCCAUUGAUACUGAAGAGCUUGAGUACAGAUGAGGUAGGCGGAAUUUAUGGUGUAGCGGUGAAAUGCAUAGAUACCAUAAAGAACACCUAUUGCGAAGGCAGCUUACUAAGCUGUAACUGACGCUGAGGCACGAAAGUGUGGGGAUCAAACAGG
rnacentral:rRNA from 1 species